GAUGAAGAACGUAGCGAAAUGCGAUACGUAAUGUGAAUUGCAAAUUCAGUGAAUCAUCGAGUCUUUGAACGCACAUUGCGCCCCCUGGUAUUCCGGGGGGCAUGCCUGUCCGAGCGUCAUUGCUGCCCUCAGGCACGGCUUGUGUGUUGGGCCCCGUCCUCCGAUCCCGGGGGACGGGCCCGAAAGGCAGCGGCGGCACCGCGUCCGGUCCUCGAGCGUAUGGGGCUUUGUCACCCGCUCUGUAGGCCCGGCCGGCGCUUGCCGAUCAACCCAAAUUUUUAUCCAGGUUGACCUCGGAUCAGGUAGGGAUACCCGCUGAACUUAAGCAUAUCAAUAAGCGGAGGA
rnacentral:misc_RNA from 1 species